GACGAACGCUGGCGGCGUGCUUAACACAUGCAAGUCGAACGAAAAGACGCGGAGUUUGUGGGGUGCUCGAGUGGCGAACGGGUGAGUGACACGUGAGUAACAUGCACUUGAAUGUGGGAUAACUUCAGGGAACUGGGGCGAAUAUCGGAGAGGAGAUCCUGCUGCAUGGGGGGGGUUGGAGAGAUUCGGCGGUUGGGGAUGGACUCGCGGGUUAUGCACUUGUUGGUGGGGUAGUGGCUUACCAGGGCUUUGACGGGUAGCCGGCCUGAGAGCGUGACCGGCCACCUGGGGACUGAGAUACGGACCAGACUGCUACGGGACGCAGCAGUGGGGAAUCUUGCACAACGGCCGGAAGUCUGAUGCAGCAACGCCCCGUGCGUGAUGAUCGCUUUCGAGCUGUAAACAGCUUUCGACGGUGACGAAGCGUGCUUGACGGUAAUUGGUAAAGAAGCACCGGCUAACUACGUG
rnacentral:rRNA from 1 species